rnacentral:rRNA from 1 species
UAGGAUAAGAGUUUGAUCCUAGCUCAGGAUGAACGCUGGCGGCGUGGAUAAGGCAUGCAAGUCAAACGAUUCUAUGUGUUUACAUAUAGGAAAGUGGCAGACUGGGUAGUAACAGGUGGGUAUGUACCCGAAAGUCAUGAAUAAUUGCGAGAAAUCGUAACUAAUACAUGAUAUCUCUUCGGAGGAAAGAUUUAUCGCUUUCGGAACAGCCUGCUGAGUAUCAGCUUGUUGGUAGUGUAAAGGACUACCAAGGCUAUGACGCUUAGGGGAGGUGAGAGCCUGACCCCCACCAUUGGCACUGAGACACUGGCCAAACUCCUACGGGAGGCUGCAGUCGAGAAUCUUCCGCAAUGCACGAAAGUGUGACGGAGCGACGCCGCGUGAUUGAUGAAGUACUUCGGUAUGUAAAAAUCUUUUAUACGUGAGGAAAUUAUUGACGUUAGCGUAUGAAUAAGGGGCUCCUAACCUCGUGCCAGCAGGAGCGGUAAUACGAGGGCCCCAAGCGUUAUCCGGAAUUAUUGGGCGUAAAGGGUGCGUAGGCGGUUAUGUUAGUCAGAAGUGAAAGAUCCAGGCUCAACCUGGAAAACACUUUUGAAACGGCAUAACUCGAGUUCACAAGAGGUAUACGGAACUCAUGGUGUAGGGGUGAAAUCCGUUGAUAUCAUGGGGAACACCAAAUGCGAAGGCAGUAUACUGGGGUGACACUGACGCUGAGGCACGAAACCUUGGGUAGCGAAGGGGAUUAGAUACCCCCGUAGUCCAAGGCCUAAACGAUCCAGACUAGCUUUUUGGAGUAUCGACCCUCUGAGAGGCGUAGCUAACGCGUUAAGUCUGGCGCCUGGGAAGUACGGUCGCAAGGCUAAAACUCAAAGGAAUAGACGGGGACUCGCACAAUCGGUGGAGCGUGUGGUUUAAUUCGAUGCUAAGCGAAGAACCUUACCAGGGUUAGAAAUCUAGCUGUGGGUGUCCAGAAACGGACACCGUCUUUGAGAUCGCUAGACAGGUGUUGCAUGGUUGUCGUCAGUUCGUGGCUUGAGCUGUACCGUUAAGUCGGAUAACGAACGAAACCCUCGUCGUGUGUUAUAUAUGUCACACGAGACUGCCCCCUCUGAGAUGAUAAUUGUCAUCCUGAAUUUAUUUCAGGAUCUUGAUAAAUUAUUGUCGUUUCAGAGGGGGGAGGAAGGCGAGGAUGACGCCAAAUCAGCAUGACCCUUGAUACCCUGGGCUACACACGCGCUACAAUGGGUGGUACAACAGGUUGCGAAGCGGUAACGCGGAGCCAAUCCCAUAAAACCAUCCUCAGUUCGGAUAGAGGUCUGCAACUCGACCUCUUGAAGUCGGAAUCGAUAGUAAUGGCAGGUCAGCACACUGCCGUGAAUACGUUCUCGAGUCUUGUACUCACCGCCCGUCAAGUCAAGGGAGCCGGGGGUACCCGAAGUCUGCAUUUAUGUGGCCGAAGGUAAACUUGGUGACAGGGACUAAGUCGUAACAAGGCACGGCUAGCGGAAGCUGGUCGUGGAACAAUUCCAUU